GGUGUGCUCUUCCGACAGUCAUCACAGCUUCAUCAAAGCCAAAGUGAUGAGAGCACAGAGGCUGAGCCUGUAGCCAGGAGCUCAUCCGUACACAGAACAAUGACAGCAGAAACUGAUGGAGAGGAUGAUGAAGGACCACAACCAUCCAGCAACUCAGGUCCAAACAAUCAUUUACAACCAGAUACCAGUGGCAGGAGUUUCAGACAGUUCAGGAACUGAGACAGAUGACAGUGAUGACUGGAAACAGACCAGAAAACAUCAUCAAGUUUUAACUGUC